rnacentral:rRNA from 1 species
CACUGGGGGAUAACAGUUAGAAAUGACUGCUAAUACCGCAUAAGCGCACAGUACCGCAUGGUACGGUGUGAAAAACUCCGGUGGUGUGAGAUGGAUCCGCGUCUGAUUAGCCAGUUGGCGGGGUAACGGCCCACCAAAGCGACGAUCAGUAGCCGACCUGAGAGGGUGACCGGCCACAUUGGGACUGAGACACGGCCCAAACUCCUACGGGAGGCAGCAGUGGGGAAUAUUGCACAAUGGGCGAAAGCCUGAUGCAGCGACGCCGCGUGAGUGAAGAAGUAUUUCGGUAUGUAAAGCUCUAUCAGCAGGGAAGAAAAUGACGGUACCUGACUAAGAAGCCCCGGCUAACUACGUGCCAGCAGCCGCGGUAAUACGUAGGGGGCAAGCGUUAUCCGGAUUUACUGGGUGUAAAGGGAGCGUAGACGGCGAAGCAAGUCUGAAGUGAAAACCCAGGGCUCAACCCUGGGACUGCUUUGGAAACUGUUUUGCUAGAGUGUCGGAGAGGUAAGUGGAAUUCCUAGUGUAGCGGUGAAAUGCGUAGAUAUUUAGGAGGAACACCAGUGGCGAAGGCGGCUUACUGGACGAUAACUGACCGUGAGGCUCGAAAGCGUGGGGGAGAAACAGGAUUAGAUUACCCUGGUAGUCCACGCCGUAAAGGAUGAAUGUUAGGUGUUGGGGGGCAAAGCCCUUCGGUGCCGUCGCAAACGCAGUAAGCAUUCCACUUGGGGAGUACGUUCGCAAGAAUGAAACUCAAAGGAAUUGACGGGGACCCGCACAAGCGGUGGAGCAUGUGGUUUAAUUUGAAGCAACGCGAAGAACCUUACCAAGUCUUGACAUCCUCUUGGCCGGCGUGUAACGGCGCCUUCCCUUCGGGGCAAGAGAGACAGGUGGUGCAUGGUUGUCGUCAGCUCGUGUCGUGAGAUGUUGGGUUAAGUCCCGCAACGAGCGCAACCCUUAUCCUUAGUAGCCAGCAGGUAGAGCUGGGCACUCUAGGGAGACUGCCAGGGAUAACCUGGAGGAAGGUGGGGAGGACGUCAAAUCAUCAUGCCCCUUAUGAUUUGGGGUACACACGUGCUACAAUGGCGUAAGCAAAGGGAAGCGAGACAGUGAUGUGGAGCGAAUCCCAAAAAUAACGUCCCAGUUCGGACUGUAGUGUGCGACCCGACUACACGAAGCUGGAAUCGCUAGUAAUCGCGAAUCAGAAUG